rnacentral:rRNA from 1 species
AGUGAACGCUGGCGGUAGGCCUAACACAUGCAAGUCGAACGGCAGCACAGUAAGAGCUUGCUCUUACGGGUGGCGAGUGGCGGACGGGUGAGGAAUACAUCGGAAUCUACUUUUUCGUGGGGGAUAACGUAGGGAAACUUAUGCUAAUACCGCAUACGACCUACGGGUGAAAGCAGGGGAUCUUCGGACCUUGCGCGAUUGAAUGAGCCGAUGUCGGAUUAGCUAGUUGGCGGGGUAAAGGCCCACCAAGGCGACGAUCCGUAGCUGGUCUGAGAGGAUGAUCAGCCACACUGGAACUGAGACACGGUCCAGACUCCUACGGGAGGCAGCAGUGGGGAAUAUUGGACAAUGGGCGCAAGCCUGAUCCAGCUAUACCGCGUGGGUGAAGAAGGCCUUCGGGUUGUAAAGCCCUUUUGUUGGGAAAGAAAAGCAGCAGGUUAAUACCCCGCUGUUCUGACGGUACCCAAAGAAUAAGCACCGGCUAACUUCGUG